rnacentral:rRNA from 1 species
CAGUAAUACAGUUAACACAUUAAGUGUGCCGCCUGGGGAGUACGGUCGCAAGAUUAAAACUCAAAGGAAUAGACGGGGACCCGCACAAGCGGUGGAGCAUGUGGUUUAAUUCGAAGAUACGCGAAGAACCUUACCUAGACUUGAAAUCCUUGGAAUCCUGUAGAGAUACGGGAGUGCUAGUUUACUAGAACCAAGUGACAGGUGCUGCACGGCUGUCGUCAGCUCGUGUCGUGAGAUGUUGGGUUAAGUCCCGCAACGAGCGCAACCCUCGUGAUUAGUUGCUAACAGUUCGGCUGAGCACUCUAAUCAGACUGCCUUCGUAAGGAGGAGGAAGGUGAGGACGACGUCAAGUCAUCAUGGCCCUUAUGUCUAGGGCUACACACGUGCUACAAUGGUUGGGACAAAGAGCAGCGAUACCGUGAGGUGGAGCAAAUCUUGAAACCCAAUCUCAGUUCGGAUUGAAGUCUGCAACUCGACUUCAUGAAGCUGGAAUCGCUAGUAAUCGUAGAUCAGCAAUGCUACGGUGAAUACGUUCCCGGGUCUUGUACUCACCGCCCGUCACACCAUGGGAGUUGAUUUCGCUCGAAGCCGGAAUACUAAAUUAGUUACCGUCCACAGCGGAAUUAGCGACUGGGGUGAAGUCGUAACAAGGUAACCGUAGGAGAACCUGCGGUUGGAUCACCUCCUUUCUA